AACGGGUGAGUUGCAACACAAUCGAAUUGCGGGGAAGUCCUAAAGCCUCAGGGUACUAACCUGCUGUAGGAAUGCAGCAGGGGCCUGUGUUAAUCGCACAGGGUAUAGUAACAACCCCGGAGGAUCUAGCCAGGUGUGCUAGAAUGGACGAUCCGCAGCGAAGCCCCUAGACCAGGGGAACGUUCACAGACUAAGUGGUUGUGGGUAGGAGGGACUCCUGCUUAAGAUAUAGUCGGGCCGGCGCGGAAACGCGCUGGGGAUUCGCAAGAACGUAAACCGCUCCGUAGGUGAACCUGCGGAGGGAUC
rnacentral:ncRNA from 1 species